GGCGCGGUGGCGGAGUAGAUUGUCGCAAUUAAGGAGAAGUUGGUAUCGAACCGCCUGACAAUCGGCGGAAGCUUCGCAGGUUCGAAUCCUGCUCGCGCCU
rnacentral:tRNA from 1 species